rnacentral:rRNA from 1 species
AGAGUUUGAUCCUGGCUCAGAUUGAACGCUGGCGGCAGGCCUAACACAUGCAAGUCGAGCGGUAGCACAGAGAAGCUUGCUUCUUGGGUGACGAGCGGCGGACGGGUGAGUAAUGCAUAGGAAUCUGCCCGAUAGUGGGGGAUAACCUGGGGAAACCCAGGCUAAUACCGCAUACGUCCUACGGGAGAAAGGGGGCUUCGGCUCCCGCUAUUGGAUGAGCCUAUGUCGGAUUAGCUAGUUGGUGAGGUAAAGGCUCACCAAGGCAACGAUCCGUAGCUGGUCUGAGAGGAUGAUCAGCCACAUCGGGACUGAGACACGGCCCGAACUCCUACGGGAGGCAGCAGUGGGGAAUAUUGGACAAUGGGGGCAACCCUGAUCCAGCCAUGCCGCGUGUGUGAAGAAGGCCUUCGGGUUGUAAAGCACUUUCAGCGAGGAAGAACGCCUGGUGGUUAAUACCCAUCAGGAAAGACAUCACUCGCAGAAGAAGCACCGGCUAACUCCGUGCCAGCAGCCGCGGUAAUA